GACGAACGCUGGCGGCGUGCUUAACACAUGCAAGUCGAGGGUAGCAAUACACUGGCGCAAGGGUGCGUAACGCGUAGAUUAUCUGCCCCAUACACUAACAUAACGCUUGGAAACGGGUGCUAAUAUUAGAUGAGGUGCUUCGGCAUCAAAGUUUCGACGGUAUGGGAUGAGUCUGCGUCUGAUUAGCUAGUUGGUAGUGUAAUGGACUACCAAGGCGACGAUCAGUAGCUGGUCUGAGAGGACGAUCAGCCACACUGGAACUGAGACACGGUCCAGACUCCUACGGGAGGCAGCAGUGAGGAAUUUUGCGCAAUGGACGAAAGUCUGACGCAGCGACGCCGCGUGUGGGAUGAAGGGGCUACGCCCUGUAAACCACUGUUACCCGGGAUGAUAAUGACAGUACCGGGAGAAUAAGCCCCGGCUAACUCCGUGCCAGCAGCCGCGGUAAU
rnacentral:rRNA from 1 species